UAAUACUACCUUUUUCUGUUCAAUCCAUAGAGCACUCAUUUUCCCUCUUGAGACCAUGGUGUGACCUGCAAGGUCGAAUGGAGACUGUAAGCGAGACAAUCUUGGAGUCACCUGCAUUGACUGGUCCAGUUGUUAGUCCAAUUACAGAUGGAGAUUAUAGAAGAGGAUGAUGUCUUUUCUCCAAAAUCUUUCUAGACUGAUAAAAGAUCUAGACAGGCUCGAACAAAAGUUAACAGAGGGGCUUAUAUAGAGAAUGGUAAGAACCAUUUUAUCCGUCAAACUUUUUACCAAUUAUUGUAAACAUAAACAAUAUUAUAGGGCUUAAUUUGUUUUAAACAUUACUUCAAUGUACUGUAUCUGUUUAAGGUGAGCAGCUACACAUAAAAGAAGAACAUGGAGAAUCUGCCCAGAGGUGUUAACCAGCAAUGCAGCUAUACAACUAAAUUGAUGCAGGCGGAAACAAUGUGUAAUGCAGCUGCUGCAGAUGAAGAAUCCGUCCGUCUACCACUGAAGGAGACGCGGAAAAUCGGGAAAAGAUGUUCUUUGCCCGAGGAAGCAUUUGAUUAAUUUAAAGAUAUUGUGUUUCUUUGUAUGUUAUAGAAAAACGUUGCUUUUUUGCAUACACUCGUGUAAAUAUGCAUCUUAUGAAUGUUUUCCUUUGUCUAAUUUUAAUAAAUUUUACGCAAUCAA